UGAGGAAUUUUGCGCGAUGGAGGAAACUCUGACGCAGCGACGCCUCGUGAACGAUGAAGUCUUUCGGGAUGUAAAGUUCUGUCGGUGGGGAAGAUGAUGACGGUACCCACAAAGGAAGCACCGGCUAACUACGUGCCAGCAGCCGCGGUAAUACGUAGGGUGCAAGCGUUAUCCGGAUUUAUUGGGCGUAAAGGGUGCGUAGGCGGUUGGAUAAGUUAGGUGUGAAAGCUAUGGGCUCAACCCAUAGUGGCGCCUAAAACUGUCCAGCUAGAGGAUACUAGAGGAAAGUGGAACUCGUGGUGUAGCGGUGAAAUGCGUAGAUAUCACGAGGAACACCAGUGGCGAAGGCGACUUUCUGGGGUAUAUCUGACGCUGAGGCACGAAAGCAUGGGGAGCAAACAGG
rnacentral:rRNA from 1 species